GACAGCUUUUAAUGCUUUGCGUCAUUCGAAAGAAAAGUGUCUUUGUUUAGCGAGUUUUAGUGAGUUUUCUUCUUAGUUCAGCUUAGUGAAACUUUUUAGUUUGUUGAGUGCAACAGUGGUUGUUUAGUGUUUAAAGACAAAUUAUAAACAGGGUGGCAUAAAAUAUUAAAGUAGGUGACAUAAAAUAUUAAAAAUUUUAUCAGGGAUUAUUUAUUUGACAUAUAAAUCUCAAAAAUGCCAAUAACUCGACGAACCAACUUAAGUCGUAGAACGCGAAAUGCUGCAAGCCAACAACAUGUACGGGCAAGUCAAACCAACGAGCAACGCGAGAUGCGAAAUAAAGUUGAAAGGAAUAGAUGGAAUAGGAAUAACCAAGAACGUAGAAACGUUCCGUUCAGGUUUAAUCCAAAUCGAGAUGCAUUUAGUUACGAUGCCAAAUCCUCCAGAUCCACUAUAUUCAUUAGUUUCCGGAAAUCAUCCAGAUUCAAAACAUUUUUUAAAUAAUAUCCAGCAAUAUAAUAAUUGCUUUUAAAUGACGUCAUUUGAAGCAACAAAAAUUUGUAGAGAUAAUUUUAUGCCUACUUUUAAGAUUCAAGGCCAAAUAUAUCAUAGAACAGGAUCUUUAUUGCCAACGCCAGAUAGUGACUACCAAUUUUUGCAAAUUUAUUUUAUGGGUGAUUCAACACAACAAGUUAAUCAGCGUUCUGCAUACAACAAUUCGGUGAAAAGACCAUUAGUGGAAAAACUACAAAGUUUUUUUCAUCAACACAACGAAUUGGUUGCAUUAUUCAAGACCGCUUUAGACCGCAUGCCAUCUGAUGAUUAUAAAAUUGUUAUCAGAGCCGAAAAGAAGCCUGCAGGAGAACAUGUGAAAAUUUAGAAAAACGAGAUAUUAUUUUAAAUCGGCGGAACGAUCAACUGCAGCGUGUGUCCGAAACACAUCGAUCAUAUGAUGCGUUAGAAUAUCCUAUAUUAUUUUGGCAAGGUGAAGAUGGGUAUCAUUUUACAAUCAAGAUGAUAAAUCCACUUACAGGUGCUGAAACUAACAAAAAAGUUAGUUCAAUGAAUUAUUAUUCAUAUAAAUUGAUGGUUAGGGAAAAUUAGGAUAAUCACAUUUUUAAAUGUCGGCGUCUAUUACACCAGUAUGCUGUAGAUAUGUAUGUAAAGUUUGAAACUGAGCGAUUGACAUUCAUCAGGUUGAAUCAGUCAAAACUCCGUUCCGAGCAAUACAUUCAUCUUCAGGAUGCCAUCAAUGCUGACGGAAAUGCACAGAAUGUUGGCGGAAUGACUAUUCUUCCAGCAACGUACAUCGGAAGUCCGAGACAUAUGCAUGAAUAUGCUCAGGAUGCUAUGACAUAUGUACGUCAUUAUGGAACACCAGAUCUGUAUAUCACGUUCACGUGUAAUCCGCAGUGGACAGAAAUUCGCCAGGAAUUAUUUGCUGGCCAAUGACCUAUUGAUCGCCAUGACAUCACUGCAAGGGUGUUCAAAAGAAAAUUAAAAUCACUCAUGGAUUUUAUUGUUACGCAUCGCGUAUUCGGCGAGACAAGGUGUUGGAUUCAGUAGAGUGGCAAAAAUGCGGACUGCCACAUGCACAUAUCCUCAUUUGGUUGGUUGAGCGGAUAAGAUCUAAUGAAAUCGAUGAUGUGAUAUCAGCAGAAAUUCCCGAUAAUUAGAAAGAUCCACUUUAUCUCCGCCAUUCCACCAAUAACAAUGGAAGAUUAACAAUUGUCAAAGUGAAACAACAGGACAUUGAAGUUGAUAAUCGUUGGGUUGUUCCAUUUUCGCCAUUAUUAUCCAAAACAUUUAAAGCACACAUAAAUGUAGAAUAUUGCCAUUCUGUAAAUCUAUUAAAUACAUCUGCAAAUAUGUGAAGUAGUGACAUGGCUGUGUUCGGAAUUGCUGCCGAAAAUGCAAGAGAUGAAAUCACUCAAUUUCAAAUGGGUCGCUAUGUUAGCAGUAAUGAAGCGAUGUGGCGUAUCUUUUCAUUUGCUUUGCAUGAAAGACACCCCACUGUUGUUCACUUGGCGGUACAUUUAGAAAAUGGGCAACGAGUGUAUUUUACAGCACGUAACGUAUUACAACAAGCUGACAGGCCGCCAUCAACAACACUGACCAGCUUCUUUGAAAUGUGCCAGAAUGAUGACUUUGCCCGAACGCUGCUUUACUCCGAAAUGCCAAGAUAUUAUACCUGGAAUCAAUCGUUAGAGAAAUUUCAAUGAAGAAAACAAGGUCAGCCCGUUCCAGAAUACCCACAAGUAUUUUCCACCGAUGCACUAGGACGUCUUUACACAAUUCAUCCCAACCAAGACGAGUGUUUUUAUUUGCGUUUACUGUUAAUCAAUGUUCGUGGACCAACAUCAUUCCAACAUCUGCGAACUAUUAAUGGUGUAUUAUGCGGCAUAUACAGAGAAGCCUGUCAACUUAUGGGAUUGCUAGAAAAUGAUACUCAUUGGCACCACACUCUGGAAGAUGCUGUAGUUUCAUCAAAUGCUAAACAAAUACAAACAUUGUUUUCUAUAAUUUUGUCUACAUGCUUCCCAUCAACGCCAAUUGAUCUGUGGAACAAAUAUAACUAUCAUAUGGCCGAAGAUAUAUUGCAUCGGAUGCGACUUAGGACAUCGAAUGCAGAUUUGCAAAUGAACGAAGAAAUUAAAAAUGAGGCAUUAAUUUUAAUUGAGGACAUGUGCUUGAUGCUUACCAACAAAAGAUUAAUACAAUUAGGAAUGAUAGGUCCCAAUCGCCCAAUGCACGACGCAUUUAAUCAAGAGUUAAGACGCGAAACCGAAUAUGAUUCUGAGGGAUUGACGGAAAUAGUUCAACGAAACGUUCCCUUAUUAAAUCAACAACAUGAACAUGCCUAUGAUACGCUGAUGAGAGUAGUCAACGAUGAGACUGGGGGACUGUUUUUCUUAGAUGCUCCUGGUGGAACUGGAAAAACGUUUUUAAUCUCAUUAAUUUUGGCAGCGAUUCGAUCGCAAAAUGGAAUUGCACUCGCAGUUGCUUCAUCAGGUAUUGCAGCUACGUUGUUAGAAGGCGGUCGAACAGCUCAUUCAGCACUCAAGUUGCCGUUAAACAUGCAAAUUAUUGAAACUCCAACUUGCAACAUUUCGAGGAAUUGUGCGAUGGCCAAAGUCUUACAACAAAGCAAAUUAAUCGUUUGGGAUGAGUGCACAAUGGCAAUCAAAAAAUCUCUGGAGGUAAUUAGACCGCACAAUGCAAGAUUUACGACACAACCAGAACCGGUUUGGUGGUGCGAUGAUUCUAUUGGCAGGUGAUUUUCGAUAAACAUUGCCGAUAAUGCCACGAUCAACACCAGCCGAUGAACUUAAUGCAUGUUUGAAGUCGUCAAAUUUAUGGAAGUAAGUCAAAACACUUAAAUUAAAUAUAAACAUGCGAGUCGAAUUGUAGAACGAUCAAUCUGGAGAAGCUUUUUCAAAACAAUUGCUUGAUAUUGAUAAUGGCAAAAUUCCAGUAGACACAUCGUCGGGAUACAUUAACUUCCCUCCCAAUUUUUGUAACUUUGUUGAAUCAAAAACCGAACUUAUCGAGGAGGUGUUCCUAAAUAUUGUUUAAAAUUAUAAAACCACGAUUGGUUAAGCGAACGAGUUAUAUUGGCUGCCAAAAACGUUGAUGUCAACGAAAUAAAUUUUGAAAUUCAAAAUAAGAUUGCAGGCGAUCUUAUGACUUAUAAAUCCAUUGAUUCCGUUACCAACCAAGAUGAUGUCGUUAACUAUCCAACCGAAUUUUGAAAUUCGCUGGAAAUACCCGGACUUCCACCUCAUAAUCUGCAAUUAAGAGUCGGAUCGAUUAUUAUUAUGUUGCGGAACAUGAACCAACCACGUCUUUGCAAUGGCACCCGCCUUGCGGUGAACAAACUGAUGAACAAUGUCAUCGAAGCAACAAUUUUGAAAGGGAAGUACAAAGGCGAAGACGUUUUAAUUCCACGCAUCUCCAUGAUUCCGAACGACAUGCCAUUCGAUUUUAAGCGGAUGCAAUUUCCUGUGCGACUUGCAUUUGCAAUGAGGAUAAAUAAAUCGCAAGGGCAGUAGCAAUCACAUGUUAAAUGUUUGUGGCAUAAAUUUAGAAAAUCCAUGUUUUUCACAUGGUCAAUUGUAUGUGGCCUGCUCCGGUGUUGGAAAAUCUUCCACAUUAUUUAUUUUCGCUCCAGGAAAGAAAACUAACAAUUUUGUGUAUCAAAAAGCGUUACAAUAAAUAUUUACUAGCUUUUUGUAAUAAUGUUUUGAUUUUUUUAUUAAAUUGUUAGGUAUUAACUACGGCGGUACGAAGUUCGCCGGGUCAGCUAGUUUCUG
rnacentral:lncRNA from 1 species